rnacentral:rRNA from 1 species
GAUGAACGCUGGCGGCGUGCCUAAUACAUGCAAGUCGAGCGAACGGACGAGAAGCUUGCUUCUCUGUUGUUAGCGGCGCACGGGUGAGUAACACGUGGAUAACCUCCCUAUAAUACUGGGAUAACUUCGGGAAACCGGAGCUAAUACCGGAUAAUAUUUUGAACCGCAUGGUUCAAUAGUAAAAGACGGUCUUGCUGUCACGUAUAGAUGGUUCCGCGCUGCAUUGUCUAGUUGGUAAGGUAACGGCUUACCAAGGCAACGAGGCAUAGCCGACGGGAGAGGGUGAUAGGCCACACUGGAACUGAGACACGCUCCUGGCGCCUACGGGAGGCAGCAGUAGGGAACCUUCGGCAAUGGGCGAAAGCCUGACGGAGUAAGGCCGAGUGAGUGAUGAAGGUCUUCGGAUCGUAAUACUCUGUUAUUAGGGAAGAACCUCUGUGUCAGUAAAUGUGCACAUCUUGACGGUACUUAAUCAGAAAGCCACGGCUAACUACGUG